GACGUAGGGCGCGAGCGUUGUCCGGAUUUAUUGGGCGUAAAGAGCUCGUAGGCGGCUCAUUGCGUCAACCGUGAAAACCUGCAGCUUAACUGUGGGCUUGCGGUUGAUACGGGUGGGCUGGAGUUCGGUAGGGGAGACUGGAAUUCCCGGUGUAGUGGUGGAAUGCGUAGAUAUCGGGGGGAAUACCAGUGGCGAAGGCGGGACUCUGGGCCGAUACUGACGCUGAGGAGCGAAAGCGUGGGGAGCGAACAGG
rnacentral:rRNA from 1 species